UACGUAGGGUGCAAGCGUUGUCCGGAAUUAUUGGGCGUAAAGAGCUCGUAGGCGGUCUGUUGCGUCGGCUGUGAAAACCCGGGGCUCAACCCCGGGCCUGCAGCCGAUACGGGCAGACUAGAGUUCGGCAGGGGAGACUGGAAUUCCUGGUGUAGCGGUGAAAUGCGCAGAUAUCAGGAGGAACACCGGUGGCGAAGGCGGGUCUCUGGGCCGAUACUGACGCUGAGGUGCGAAAGCGUGGGGAGCAAACAGG
rnacentral:rRNA from 1 species